rnacentral:snRNA from 1 species
AGAGUUUACUUUCAACGACGUCG